AACACGUAAUAUGCAUUUUAGUUAAACAUUUAAUUUCAUAUGAAGUAUCUUCAGAAUCGGUGAAGGUACGAAAAACAAGUUGGCUAAUUUCAUUUUAAAAAUUUCUUUUUACAAUUUUUAUCUACUUUACUAUCGAGAUAUCUGCCCCGCGCCUUUCGACAAUUCUGUUUUAAAUUUAGCUGAUUUAUUAAGUAAACUCACCUGAAAGCUGUUUCAAGUUCGCAUUGUAUAAGUAAAAAAAACUGCAGCUGACGAAAACUCAGCAACUGGAUCUCAAGAGUCUGCAGUCUGCUACCUUUCUAAGCCAGGCUUCCAAAAUUAACAUGUAAUUCAAGAACCAACCAAAGAGCCGUGUAUCUGACUUACAAGAGGAUGUCAUAAGCAGAGAUCAAAACAAACAUGUUUUACGUGGGUUUUCUUUAAAAAAAAAACUUUAAAUAUCUUAAAACAUUGUAACAAGAAGCACUUGCGAGGUAUUUUAAGUCGGUCUCAUGUUAUCUGUAUUUGCUAUAUAAAGUAAGCAAUGUGCCUUUCUGUGUUUUAAAUAUAUUAAAAAUAUUUUGUUGCCAGGGAAGUAUCUCCAACUUAUCCGAAACUCCCUUGUCUGAGGAAAUAAACUUUUCCUUUCUCAGUAAAUAAA